ACUCCUACGGGAGGCAGCAGUGAGGAAUAUUGGUCAAUGGACGCAAGUCUGAACCAGCCACGUCGCGUGAAGGAAGACGGCCCUACGGGUUGUAAACUUCUUUUGUAAGGGAAUAAAGUGCAGUACGUGUACUGUUUUGCAUGUACCUUACGAAU
rnacentral:rRNA from 1 species